AUGCUGACUCUGGCAGUUUUCUCAGCAGUGUGUGUGGCUGUAAUCUGCACUCAAACCAUUUUAAUCCAUAAACUGAGAAAAUCUGAACACUGUGCUGAGAGAGUUCACCAGGGGGCUGUGGGUGAGUGGACCACCAGACAGGACUCUGACUCUGAGGAGUUUGAUUUCACUGCAUUACGUUUCUCUGAGAAGAUGAAGAGAAGAGCGCUAAAGGAGAAAGUUUUCACCCGAGUGAGAUUCUUCCCUGUUUCUGACUACAGAGCAGUUCAGUAAAGCUGUAUUACACCACAGGAAAGAAGUCUUACUGAGUUCAUGUAGUCAUGUAGACUCUCUGUGUUCUGCUGAUAUCCAUCCAUCCAUCCAUGCAUCCAAUUU